rnacentral:rRNA from 1 species
UACGUAGGUGGCAAGCGUUGUCCGGAUUUACUGGGCGUAAAGGGCGUGCAGGCGGUUUGUUAAGUCUAGGGUGAAAGCUCCCGGCUCAACUGGGAGAGGUCCUUGGAUACUGGCGAACUUGAGGGAGGUAGAGGAGAGUGGAAUUCCCGGUGUAGUGGUGAUAUGCGUAGAUAUCGGGAGGAACACCAGUGGCGAAGGCGACUACCUGGCCUGUUCUUGACGCUGAGGCGCGAAAGCUAGGGGAGCAAACGGG